UACGGAAGGGGGCUAGCGUUGUUCGGAAUCACUGGGCGUAAAGCGCACGUAGGCGGAUCUUUAAGUCAGGGGUGAAAUCCCGAGGCUCAACCUCGGAACUGCCUUUGAUACUGGGGAUCUCGAGUCCGGGAGAGGUGAGUGGAAUUGCGAGUGUAGAGGUGAAAUUCGUAGAUAUUCGCAAGAACACCAGUGGCGAAGGCGGACUCACUG
rnacentral:rRNA from 1 species